UACGUAGGCAGCAAGCGUUGUUCGGAUUUACUGGGCGUAAAGGGUGCGUAGGCGGCCCUGUAAGUCUGGUGUGAAAUCUCCCGGCUUAACUGGGAGGGUGCGCUAUAGACUGCGGGGCUCGAGUGUGGGAGAGGAAAGUGGAAUUCCUGGUGUAGCGGUGAAAUGCGUAGAUAUCAGGAGGAACACCGGUGGUGAAAACGGCUUUCUGGACCAUAACUGACGCUGAGGCACGAAAGCGUGGGGAGCAAACAGG
rnacentral:rRNA from 1 species